GACGAACGCUGGCGGCGUGCUUAACACAUGCAAGUCGAACGAGAUCCAAUGUGUAGCAAUACACAGGAAGAUCUAGUGGCGAACGGGUGAGGAACACGUGAGAAACGUACCCCAGACUUUGGGAUAACAGUUCGAAAGGACUGCUAAUACCAAAUAACGUCGGAAGUCCGCAUGGACAUCUGACGAAAGGGAUUCCGGUUUGGGAGCGUCUCGCGGACCUAUCAGCUAGUUGGAGGGGUAACGGCCCACCAGGGCAACGACGGGUAGCUGGUCUGAGAGGAUGGUCAGCCACACUGGGACUGAGACACGGCCCAGACUCCUACGGGAGGCAGCAGUGGGGAAUCUUGCGCAAUGGGCGAAAGCCUGACGCAGCAACGCCGCGUGCGGGAAGAAGGCUUUCGGGCUGUAAACCGCUUUCAGUAGGAACGAAACUGACGGUACCUACAGAAGAAGGAGCGGCCAACUAUGUGCCAGCCGCCGCCGUAA
rnacentral:rRNA from 1 species